AGUGGACCGAGGAAGGAAGGA
rnacentral:miRNA from 1 species